rnacentral:precursor_RNA from 1 species
AUUUUUGGAAAGCAGAAAAAAGCCCAGUUAUAACUGGGUUUUUUUUUUGUUUGGAAAGCA